UGGCACAAUGCGAGACAUACCUCCAAUCGAGCGAUGACGGGGAGCUUGCUCCUUGAUUCAGCGGCGGACGGGUGAGUAAUGAAAAAGGAAUGAUGCCUGGUAGUGGGGGACAACGUUUCGAAAGGAACGCUAAUACCGCAUACGUCCUACGGGAGAAAGCAGGGGACCUUCGGGCCUUGCGCUAUCAGAUGAGCCUAGGUCGGAUUAGCUAGUUGGUGGGGUAAUGGCUCACCAAGGCGACGAUCCGUAACUGGUCUGAGAGGAUGAUCAGUCACACUGGAACUGAGACACGGUCCAGACUCCUACGGGAGGCAGCAGUGGGGAAUAUUGGACAAUGGGCGAAAGCCUGAUCCAGCCAUGCCGCGUGUGUGAAGAAGGUCUUCGGAUUGUAAAGCACUUUAAGUUGGGAGGAAGGGCAGUAAGCUAAUACCUUGCUGUUUUGACGUUACCGACAGAAUAAGCACUGGCUAACUCUGUGCCAGCAGCCGCGGUAAUACAGAGGGUGCAAGCGUUAAUCGGAAUUACUGGGCGUAAAGCGCGCGUAGGUGGUUUGUUAAGUUGGAUGUGAAAGCCCCGGGCUCAACCUGGGAACUGCAUCCAAAACUGGCAAGCUAGAGUACGGUAGAGGGUGGUGGAAUUUCCUGUGUAGCGGUGAAAUGCGUAGAUAUAGGAAGGAACACCAGUGGCGAAGGCGACCACCUGGACUGAUACUGACACUGAGGUGCGAAAGCGUGGGGAGCAAACAGGAUUAGAUACCCUGGUAGUCCACGCCGUAACGAUGUCAACUAGCCGUUGGAAUCCUUGAGAUUUUAGUGGCGCAGCUAACGCAUUAAGUUGACCGCCUGGGGGAGUACGGGCCGCAGGUUAAAACUCAAAUGAAUUGGACGGGGGGCCCGGCACAAGCGGGUGGAAGCAUGGUGGCUUUAAAUUCGAAGCCACGCGGAGGAGCUUACCAGGGCCUUGUAACAUUGCAAAGAACCUUUUCAAGGAGAAU
rnacentral:rRNA from 1 species